rnacentral:rRNA from 1 species
CCCUUAGAUGUUCUGGGCUGCACGCGCGCUACACUGAUACUUUCAGCGAGUCCACCACCUUGCCUGAGAGGGUGGGGUAACCUCUGGAAAGUGUAUCGUGAUGGGGAUCGAUUAUUGUAAUUAUUAAUCUUCAACGAGGAAUUCCUAGUAAGCAUGUGUCAUCAGCCCGUGCUGAUUACGUCCCUGCCCUUUGUACACACCGCCCGUCGCUCCUACCGAUUGAUUGAUCCGGUGAAUUACAUAGAAUUUUGCGUUUUACAUGACGGAAGAUGAAGUGUUUUAAACCUUAUCAUUUAGAGGAAGGAGAAGUCGUAACA